CCUACGGGAGGCUGCAGUGAGGAAUAUUGGUCAAUGGGCGGAAGCCUGAACCAGCCAAGUAGCGUGCGGGAUGAAGGCCCUACGGGUCGUAAACCGCUUUUGCACGGGGAUAACACCCUCCACUUGUGGAGGUCUGCAGGUACCGUGCGAAUAAGGGCCGGCUAAUUCCGUGCCAGCAGCCGCGGUAAUACGUAGGGGGCAAGCGUUAUCCGGAUUUACUGGGUGUAAAGGGGGCGCAGACGGCAAUGCAAGCCAGGAGUGAAAGUCCGGGGCCCAACCCCGGGACUGCUCUUGGAACUGCAUGGCGGGAGUACAGGAGGGGCAGGCGGAAUUCCUAGUGUAGCGGUGAAAUGCGUAGAUAUUAGGAGGAACACCGGUGGCGAAGGCGGCAUGCUGGACUGUGACUGACGUUGAGGCCCGAAGGCGUGGGGAGCAAACAGGAUUAGAUACCCUUGUAGUC
rnacentral:rRNA from 1 species